rnacentral:lncRNA from 1 species
CCAAGAUGCUGUCUCACAGGAAGCCCAGGGAAGUGAGGGGCAGGGGAGGAAGCAGAUCCGGCUUUUGGUUUCUCGUAAGUCUUUUGAAUGUGAGGCAUUUAGCACGUCUUCUGUUCAGCUGCCGGUCGCAGUCGCAGAGUAACAGGAAAACUUAUUCCACCCUCCCCUUUCCCAGUUUUGUCUGCCGUAGGUUGUCUGGAGCAGGAAGGGUGGAGCUUGGAGGAGCUGCCUGGUGGUCCCAGGGGAGCUGCUGGCAGAAGGACCGUAGGCAGCAGGCAGCACUGGCCCCGGGGUCCUGGCUGACGCUUGGAAGCUGGACAGGGAGCGCAGCACUGCGAGCAGUAGCUCCUGGCUUUCCAGACCAUGACCCCCCUGUUCCGGUGUCCUCGUGGUGGGCAGCGGCUGCCGUGCCCCGGCAAGGCCAGGCAGAGGCCCCCAGCACCCUGCUCUCUGCUAGUCUCUGUGGACUCACAGGCUGUGGCAGGUCCAGACUUCAGCCUGGAGCGGUGGGGAGCGGUCUGAAACCAUGGGGACCACCUAGAAGGCACAGAAGCUUUGGCAGGUUAAGCGCGAGCUAGUGGCACACUAGCAUGGCAUCGGGAGAGACACAGAGAAGACAGAUUCCAGGAUCGAAAAGAUUCUAGAACCCAUCAAGUCCAGCAGUCCCCAAAGCUGGUCUCCGCACGGGGAGACACUGCCAUUGUCAAAUGACCCACAGAAGGAAGUGGCUGGAGGCAGAGGAGGGGACUUGCAGAAAUGGAUUUCUGGUCUCCAGGUUUAGGAACCACUGCGAAUGCAGCCCUCUCCCGAUCUCCUGUCAGGUGAAGCCCGGAACAGGUGUGUGUGACUUUGCCAACAUCUGUGACUGUUUAGUGACAGAACUAGAAUACACAUUCUCCCAAAUUAUUAAUCCAUUAUUCCUUCUAGUACAGCGCAGAAACAAUGUACCGCAACCGUGCUUGGGGGAGGAGGAGGGAUGUUAUGCUAACAUCAUAAUAAGAGCUAAAGCAGCAAGCAAAACCUCAAGGUAAAAAGGAAAAGGGGCAGUGGGGGAAGAGGAGGUCCAAGGCAGAUCACAGGGCACUGUUCCUAUGCAAACCUGAAAGCAUACAGAGGCCAGGAAUGCACACAGAUCACACUAACUCAAUCCAGAUCUGGGAACUUAUUGCCCUGAAUAUGUAUGUUUAUAGCCCCUGCUUCCUCCUCCCUCCCCUGCAAGGCUUGGGCUGGUCCUGGUGUGUGAGGUUAGAGAAAUUCAAUGGGAAGGUUUAGACACCCAGAGCCAAGAUCAUUACAACUCUUGUGCUCCCAGCACAGAAGUGAGGGGAGGAAUGUAUGAUGCAGUUGUGUUUUGUGUUUAAGAAAGAAGAGAAAAAAAAAAAAAAAAAGCCUGUGUGGUCCUGAGUGGAAGAACAUUUUAGGUCAAAUAUUAGGAAAAACUUGCUAACACUAGAGCCAUUCCUCUGAGGAUCUGGGAACUUCCUUUCCUGCCAUAUUCCGAUCAUGACUUUUUUUUCCCUCACAGCAGUGCAGCAACAAGGCAGAAACUACCAUUUGCAGGACAAAUUCAGGUCAAUCUUUGGGAUGUCUGUCUUGCUUCUGCGCUUUAAGAAAUUUGUUCAGUCACUGUAGCAGGCCAGCAGCCUGACCGGCCUUUCCCCCAGUUUUAGUUAGCCCCAAGCAUCACUGCUAAUCAGGAAUGGGAUCCUCGUUUAACCCUUCAGAGGGUGCCAGGGCAAAGUCCUCAGUGUAUUCAUGAGUCAAGGAACAGCAUCUCUGGCGUGGAGAUGUCUGGCAGGCUGGAAUUUCUGGAUGGCUUUUCCCACCGUAGGGAUUCAAGCAAACCAUUGUCAUUUUCCCCUUCUAGCAGGAGAAAGAAAAAUCCCAGCCCCUUAGAGCAUAUUCGUUCUGGCUCAAGCACAUGGGUUUUCUUUCCUGGAAACAGGGACUGGCUCAGUGAGACGCCCCCAGAGUUGUGCUUUGUGUUGCCAAGACGCCCGUUCUGGCAAGCUACAGAGGAAAGAGGCUGCUGGAGAGAAGGAGUCUCGAUGCCCCCCAGAAGGACACAAAACCUUCAUUAUUUAAUAGUUCUUCAGCAUCCGAGAAAUUUUAUCCCAAGGAAAAGGCUUCGAUAACUUCAUUAAUAGGAGUAUUUUAAGAAUUGGAAGUAGAAAUCAGAUCACAUUAAAUGGUGCAUUUCUUUUUUUUUUUUUUAUGUUUUUUUAUUAUAUCAUGUUAGUCACCAUACAGUACAUCCCCGGUUUCCGAUGUAAAGUUCGAUGAUUCAUUAGUUGUGUAUAACACCCAGUUAAAUGGUGCAUUUCUAAGCCAAGCACAAGCUAAGUUGCCUACCGAGCUAAAGAGCGCAACAAGCGGGUUGUGGAUCCGCACGGCUGUGUGUCUGUAACUGGCAGCACGUGGACUGGGUGAGCCAAUUUCCCAGUCCCCCAGCCCAAGGCCUCACAGGCGCCCCAGCACCGGGACACUCCGAAGGCUCUUCUGUAAAGCCCCACCAUGACAGCAGUGCCUGAGGCAAAAGCGACAUUGACUCAGGGGAGAGGCCAGACCACGGUGUGACACAGAACUCAGUCUCUUCAACAAUCACUUCAUCUCCACGGUUUCUGCUAGGAGCCUUCAUUGGCUGCACGACCACCUAGGGUAGCAGUUCUCUGAGGGUGGGCUGCAGACCCUUGGGAAGUCCAACCCUAUUGCAGAUGGCCCAUGAGUCAAAGCCAUUUUCAUGAUAAUAUAAAGAUGCUCUUUGGCUCUCUUCACCGUACUGACAUUUGCACUGAUGACAUAAAUGCCAUGGGGGAGAAAAGCACCAGUGCCUUAGCAUGAAUCAAGGCAAUGGCGCCAAACCGUUCCAGUGGGCACUGAUUCUUCACUGCCUCACACCUGCAGUCUGAAGACACCCCUGCUCGUUUCCUUUAAAAAUGUCCUUGGGGAACCAUAGGAAAUACUCAUUUUAUUAAAUCUCGACCUUUAGGUACCAGUCUUUUUAACGGUCCAUGUCAUGAAAUGGGAAAUACCCUGGAAAACUCUGCUGUAUUCCAAAGUACCAUGUUUGUCUCGAGGAAAAGCAGUGGUGCAAUUGUUUGAGUUACCAGCUAAACUAGCUGCUUUUCGAGCAGCACUACCUCUACCUGAAAGAAUGGCCGAGAGACAAAUGACAGUUAUUCAGACUUGGAUAUUUGGCAGACAUUUUCUCAAAAGUUGGCAAGUGAGCCCAUCACUUCAAAGAAAAUAACUGACAGUAUUUGCUGCCAGUGGUAGAAAUGAAGACUUCAAGCAAAAACUGGAACUUUGGAAAACUUGUAUCAGCUCCCGCGAGCCUCACAGCUUUACCACUAUUUAAAGACUUUACUGAUGAUAUCAAUGGUGAUCUUGACAAAUGCAACGUUUGAUACUGUAUGAGUAAUGUCUCAACAUUGGGAAGGUCUGCAUAACUCAGUGAAUCAACAUUUUCCAAAUGACCAAUGCCCGAUGCUACAAAAUUAUGCACGGGUAAAGAUCACUUCAAAACAGAAGACGGACCAAUGGAUUCUAACGCAAUCGAGAUGAAACUGUUAUGCAUUUGAUCUCAGGUUCCACACUGCAACUAACUUUAAAAAAACCACCACUCGUGCAGUUUUGGUGUAUAGUAUCAAAGAAAACGCACGGCUUUCUGAAAAGGCUCAUAAAAUACCCCCCUCUUUUCCAAUGAUAUAUCUGUGUGAAGUCAGAUUUUCUUUGUGUACUUCAACCAAAACAGCACAUCACAACAGAUUGAAUGCAGAAGCAGAGAGAAUCCAGCUGUCUUCUAUUAAGCCAGAUGUUAAAGAGAUUUGCAAAAAUGUAAAGCAAUGUCACUCUUCUCACUGUUUUGUUUGGGAAAAUAUAGUUAUUUUUCAUGAAAAUAUAUUUCUUAUGUUAGCAUGAAAUGGGCUAAUCAAUGUUAUUUUUAAAUUAAUUAAACACCUUAAAUUUCUCAGUUUUAAUUUUUAGUGUUAAAUAUCGAUAGAUAUAACCUAAACAGAUAAAAGCACUUUAUGAUCUUCAAUCAUUUUUAAGAACAUAAAGGGAUCCUGGGUCUAAAAAGUUGAGAACUGAUGAUGUACUGAAACUUCCCGAAAUAAAGCCAUUCAAACUAGAAAGCA